UUAAUUGAAGAGUUUGAUCAUGGCUCAGAUUGAACGCUGGCGGCAGGCUUAACACAUGCAAGUCGAGCGGUAGCACAGGGGAGCUUGCUCCCUGGGUGACGAGCGGCGGACGGGUGAGUAAUGUCUGGGAAACUGCCUGAUGGAGGGGGAUAACUACUGGAAACGGUAGCUAAUACCGCAUAACGUCGCAAGACCAAAGAGGGGGACCUUCGAGCCUCUUGCCAUCAGAUGUGCCCAGAUGGGAUUAGCUAGUAGGUGGGGUAAUGGCUCACCUAGGCGACGAUCCCUAGCUGGUCUGAGAGGAUGACCAGUCACACUGGAACUGAGACACGGUCCAGACUCCUACGGGAGGCAGCAGUGGGGAAUAUUGCACAAUGGGCGCAAGCCUGAUGCAGCCAUGCCGCGUGUGUGAAGAAGGCCUUCGGGUUGUAAAGCACUUUCAGCGAGGAGGAAGGUGGUGAGCUUAAUACGUUCAUCAAUUGACGUUACUCGCAGAAGAAGCACCGGCUAACUCCGUGCCAGCAGCCGCGGUAAUACGGAGGGUGCAAGCGUUAAUCGGAAUUACUGGGCGUAAAGCGCACGCAGGCGGUUUGUUAAGUCAGAUGUGAAAUCCCCGGGCUCAACCUGGGAACUGCAUUUGAAACUGGCAAGCUAGAGUCUCGUAGAGGGGGGUAGAAUUCCAGGUGUAGCGGUGAAAUGCGUAGAGAUCUGGAGGAAUACCGGUGGCGAAGGCGGCCCCCUGGACGAAGACUGACGCUCAGGUGCGAAAGCGUGGGGAGCAAACAGGAUUAGAUACCCUGGUAGUCCACGCUGUAAACGAUGUCGAUUUGGAGGUUGUGCCCUUGAGGCGUGGCUUCCGGAGCUAACGCGUUAAAUCGACCGCCUGGGGAGUACGGCCGCAAGGUUAAAACUCAAAUGAAUUGACGGGGGCCCGCACAAGCGGUGGAGCAUGUGGUUUAAUUCGAUGCAACGCGAAGAACCUUACCUACUCUUGACAUCCAGAGAACUUUCCAGAGAUGGAUUGGUGCCUUCGGGAACUCUGAGACAGGUGCUGCAUGGCUGUCGUCAGCUCGUGUUGUGAAAUGUUGGGUUAAGUCCCGCAACGAGCGCAACCCUUAUCCUUUGUUGCCAGCGGUUCGGCCGGGAACUCAAAGGAGACUGCCAGUGAUAAACUGGAGGAAGGUGGGGAUGACGUCAAGUCAUCAUGGCCCUUACGAGUAGGGCUACACACGUGCUACAAUGGCGUAUACAAAGAGAAGCGACCUCGCGAGAGCAAGCGGACCUCAUAAAGUACGUCGUAGUCCGGAUUGGAGUCUGCAACUCGACUCCAUGAAGUCGGAAUCGCUAGUAAUCGUAGAUCAGAAUGCUACGGUGAAUACGUUCCCGGGCCUUGUACACACCGCCCGUCACACCAUGGGAGUGGGUUGCAAAAGAAGUAGGUAGCUUAACCUUCGGGAGGGCGCUUACCACUUUGUGAUUCAUGACUGGGGUGAAGUCGUAACAAGGUAACCGUAGGGGAACCUGCGGUUGGAUCACCUCCUUACCUAAAGA
rnacentral:rRNA from 1 species